UGAGACAGGUUAGUUUUACCCUACUGGUCAGUUGAUGUUGCAACUGUAAUCGAAGUCAGUACGAGAGGAACACUUCGUUUGGGCACUUGGCAAAUGUGGUUAGUUGAGAGGCUAAUUCCCCCAAGCUAUUGUCUGCUGGAUCAUGACUGAACGCCUCUAAAAUCGAAUCCAUGCUGGUGUGCGAAUGUCUUUCAUCAAUUUUCAAGUGUAUAUGCCCUUUAUGAGGUAAUUGAGGCUAGUUCUGGUUGGUAUUG
rnacentral:rRNA from 15 species